AGAGUUUGAUCCUGGCUCAGGAUGAACGCUAGCGGCAGGCUUAACACAUGCAAGUCGAGGGGUAUAGUUCUUCGGAAUUAGAGACCGGCGCACGGGUGCGUAACGCGUAUGCAAUCUACCUUUCACAGAGGGAUAGCCCAGAGAAAUUUGGAUUAAUACCUCAUAGUAUUAUGGAAUGGCAUCAUUUUAUAAUUAAAGUCACAACGGUGAAAGAUGAGCAUGCGUCCCAUUAGCUUGUUGGUAAGGUAACGGCUUACCAAGGCUACGAUGGGUAGGGGUCCUGAGAGGGAGAUCCCCCACACUGGUACUGAGACACGGACCAGACUCCUACGGGAGGCAGCAGUGAGGAAUAUUGGUCAAUGGGCGCAAGCCUGAACCAGCCAUGCCGCGUGCAGGAUGACGGUCCUAUGGAUUGUAAACUGCUUUUGCACAGGAAGAAACAACAUUACGUGUAAUGUCUUGACGGUACUGUGAGAAUAAGGAUCGGCUAACUCCGUGCCAGCAGCCGCGGUAAUACGGAGGAUCCAAGCGUUAUCCGGAAUCACUGGGUUUAAAGGGUCCGUAGGCGGUUUAGUAAGUCAGUGGUGAAAGCCCAUCGCUCAACGGUGGAACGGCCAUUGAUACUGCUAG
rnacentral:rRNA from 1 species